AAAAAUAGUGUUCGAUACGAGGGCGAAAAUUUGUUUUUCGAACUCCUAACGGAUUGACACCCGAGACGCCGUCGUCGUUCGAAACACGACAUUUUUCGCCUUUGUAUCGAAAACUACUAUUUAGAGUGCUUUGAUAAUGGUACAAGUUUGUCAACGAGAUAGUGUGACGAUUAUUAAGUUAUAUUAAGUAUCCAGGCAACGCUGCCAGUAGGCCGCACAACUCACAGCUUCUGUUAAAGCUUGAAGGGUGUCAUGGGCAACCACCACAUUCCUUAUCAGGUGGUCUUGUAGGCAUUUCGGACAACAGUUGAUUUUCUUAUUAUGGAAGUUCUCCACGAUGCUCUGAGAGAGAUCUGGUUCGCACCAUAUAUUAGAUAACUCGUUUUGUUAACUCGUUACUCAAUAAGUUCAGUAACCUUUCACGUGGGCACUAUACUGCCUCCAGGCCACCACUGAUUCUUCGGUUUCUUUAAUGAACUGUCUCCAUUCAGCUUUGGGUAACACUUUGACCUGUCCAUCCUGUUUCUUCACAUCGCCACGCACGAUCGCGGCAUAUUCUCGAAUUUUCUGAAUUACACAGCUCAUCUGGAAAUUCGAAAUAUGGUUUAAAGAUAAUGAAACAACUGUUAAAACAGUUUGCUAGGACAAACCCACUGAGUCCAAUUGUGUGCAUUAUGUGUGAUUUCCAACAGCCAGACUGCCCAAGUUUUCAGCGACAAGCAGCAAACGGUACCCGGUGAAUGCUCAAACACUUUCGAUGGUUUGUGGCCUUUGAUUAUGCUGCCAGAAAUAUAAUUGAUGGAAAAUACUUUACUAUUAAAUAUAUCUCACCCGUAAGGGAGAAUAGCUCCUUCUUGGGCUUCAUAUUCCAUUUCAGAUGCCACGAAUUCUUCACCGUCAUCCACAAUUUUAUAAAUGCCCGUACUUCCUUCGUCAUCAGUCCUGCCUUCAAAAACUAGUUUGAACAGGUCUUCAAGAAGACCCUCAGUAAGGUGUUUAACACUUUCACCUUCUUCGCUCCAACGGUUUUCUGGUUCAAAUAGCUGAGAAUCCCGCAACUCUUCGGAAGAAAAUGAUGAAGAAGAAAAUGCAGAUCCUUCGCCGGACUCUCUUUCGCUUUCCCCAGCGAGCGAAGAAACCGACACUGGCGAAGAGAGGAAAAUCUGUGGUCUUUGCUAAUAACCUAGCACUAACAUAUGAUUUACAUUCAAGAGAAGAAUUUGGUAAUCUGUGAAUUUCAAUUCUUAAAGUAUGAGUAAUUACGCCAAAUAUACAGAUUUAAUCAAACAAACUACUGAAUAUGCCAAGCGAAUGGCUCGCUUAAGCAAUCGCAUAUUUAGUGAACCAGUCCGAGCCACCAGUUCAAAAUCCAUGAAAGUGGUGAAGCUGUUUAGCGAGCAACCGAUUAAUCUACGUAAGGAAAUAUACGCGUACUAUCCGAGACACAUAGAAACUGGGAAAUUGAUGAUGAAACUCCGACAUUAUGGACUGUUUAGAGAUGAACAUCAGGACUGGAAAGAGGAAAUGGAACGAAUGCGAGCCUUGCGUGGUAAAGCGAAAAACAAGAGAAAGCCUGGAGGAACCAAAAAGUAAAUAUAUUCGGCUGCAUAGUU